GAUGCAAGUUGAAAGAGAUCUGCGAUAAAGAAACUGGUGAAUGUAAAAUUUACAUUGUAAUAUAAUGAACGUUGAAACACUUAUGAUCAGCCCGAAGAAGAAAAUAACAAACGGAAUUUUCAGAUGAGAUGCAUCCAGUUUCAAAAGCGGAAUAAAGACCAGUCUUUAUGAUUUUUAGCUUUUUCGCUGAAGCCAGUUUAUUCAAGUUGAAUCCAAAGCUACAUCUAAACACUGUUCGCUCUGAUUUUCGCAAUGGUUCACGCUCUUCUGCUGCUUGAUAAAGAAAACAGGCAAAAUUUUUGGCCGCGUGAAAAUUGACAUCAUUGAUGCAAGUAACGGUUCCAUCUUUUCUCAAUGCCUGGUAUAUUUGCUCAUGUGUUGGUAUUCCUUGAUAGACGUUGUGCUCUAUUCUAACUUUGCGAACAACAGGAUCGAGUGAUUUCUGGAAUUCACGGUUGCAUACUGUUGGAUAGGCGAUUCUCACUGUGAAGUUGUACUUUAAAAUAUCAUGGAAUGAUUCCAAUUUAAGAUAUUCCGAAUGCUGCACCAAACCAGUUCGUAGGGAAGCCAUUAAUAAUUUAUUCACAAGCAAUUGGAAAAUAAUGAAUACCAUGAAAAAAGAUUCUUUUUGGAUAGCACAAUUUGUAAUGUAAUUUUGGCCCAAAACGUAAUCAAAAUGUGACCAAAAGAUUUGGACCAAAGAGACGGAGCGUUUAAAUUUGAGGGAAACAUUGUUUACCAUGAUGAAGACGAAAAAUGAGCAAACUGUGAGAAUCCAAAAUGUCCACUGAAAUGAUGAGAAAAAGUCGAAAAAUGAUGAACUCGUCAAACUCACUUGUAAUUUGCUGUUAUAAGAAAGAAUUGUCAAUUAUAAAUCAAAGGAAAUGCUGUUUUAAGUACAAAAAGGAUUUACCGAGUAAAUGAAAAUUCACCGAGUUCUUUGAAAGAAAAAUAUGCAGAAACGUUGUGAUAUUGUGAUAAACGCUAAACUACUCAAGAGCUACUAAAGAGACUCAAAAGCUACUAAAUUUUUUUUACCAAAUGCGUUUUUCAAUGCAGCAUAUAAACUUGAAGAAUAUUCAUUUUUAACGAUUAAAAUCAUUCGAAUCGAUAA